rnacentral:misc_RNA from 1 species
ACAACCCAAGCUGGAUGAGCGUGCUUUGAAUGAAGUCAUGAAGAAGCUUUUCAAAAACUACAAGAAAUGGUGCAAGUACUUGGACAGGAAAAGCAGUUUAUGGCUGCCAACGAUACAACAGGAAGUGCAGCAGCGUAAGUUAUUAUAUAUGGGAUUAUAUCUUCUCAUAUGGGGGGAAGCUGCAAAUUUAAGAUUCAUGCCGGAAUGCCUUUGCUACAUUUACCAUCAUAUGGCAUUUGAACUCUAUGGCAUGCUAGCUGGCAAUGUUAGUCCCAUGACAGGUGAAAAUGUUAAGCCAGCUUAUGGAGGGGAAGAGGAGGCUUUCUUGAGAAAAGUUGUUACUCCUAUUUAUGAAGUGAUUGCACGGGAAGCUGCAAGAAGCAGAAGAGGAAAAGCAAAGCAUUCCCAGUGGAGGAACUAUGAUGAUCUAAAUGAAUACUUUUGGUCAGUGGACUGCUUCAGAUUAGGUUGGCCUAUGCGUGCUGAUGCUGAUUUCUUUUGCCUUCCUGUAGAUGAAGAGCAAGCUGAGAGAAAUGGGGACAACAAGGCUUUAAGUGAUCGCUGGCUGGGAAAAGUUAAUUUUGUUGAGAUACGAUCAUAUUUGCACAUCUUUAGGAGCUUUGACAGAAUGUGGAGCUUCUUCAUAUUGUGUUUACAGGCAA